AACGAACGCUGGCGGCAUGCCUAACACAUGCAAGUCGAACGAGACCUUCGGGUCUAGUGGCGCACGGGUGCGUAACGCGUGGGAAUCUGCCCUUGGGUUCGGAAUAACAGUUGGAAACGACUGCUAAUACCGGAUGAUGACGUAAGUCCAAAGAUUUAUCGCCCAAGGAUGAGCCCGCGUAGGAUUAGCUAGUUGGUGAGGUAAAGGCUCACCAAGGCGACGAUCCUUAGCUGGUCUGAGAGGAUGAUCAGCCACACUGGGACUGAGACACGGCCCAGACUCCUACGGGAGGCAGCAGUGGGGAAUAUUGGACAAUGGGCGAAAGCCUGAUCCAGCAAUGCCGCGUGAGUGAUGAAGGCCUUAGGGUUGUAAAGCUCUUUUACCCGAGAUGAUAAUGACAGUACCGGGAGAAUAAGCUCCGGCUAACUCCGUG
rnacentral:rRNA from 1 species